UUGUGGGAUUUCAGGGGCUCUGCACUGGCCCGAGUGGAUGGGAAUGAGGAGGUGAGGGCAGAGACCAGGAAGCACAGAAAGGGGCUGGUAGCCGGAGGUGGGGCAGAAAAACGAUUUGGAAAAGAGAAGAUGGCAGAACAUGUUUGCUGGCUGGAGGGAGUGGUAAAUUAGGAAGGGAGAGAUCGAAAAAGAAGGGAUAGACUGUAGGGGCCAAGACCUUGGAGAGGUGAGUGGGGUGGGAUGCAGAGCAAAGAGGAUGGGUUGGCCUUCUGUGGGUGCAGGGACAUUUUAUCCACGCGGCUGCGGGCAGGUGGACAGAUCUGGUGGUGGGGAAAUGCUGCGCCCAGCCAGGGUGUGCCACCUCCUGAGCCCCAAGCCCUACGCCAACUUCGUGUGUCUGAAGCACGUAGGUACUUGGUGAAUGUGUGUUCAAUAAGUGAGCAAGUGUGUGAGUGGGUGAAAUGCAUGAAUAAGUGACAAAACGAGAGAGGAGGCAUUGUGUACUUUCCACCUCUCUUCCUCAUGCUUCGGAGCCAGCGGUGUUUGGCACCGGGUGGAAGGAAAGGCACGGGGGCCCUGGCUUCCCCCUAGGGUGCUCUGAAACCAGGCAGUUCUGGGGUACACCAGCAGUAAGUGGGGAACAUUUAGCAUUGUGGGAUACAAGGAAGAGCCCUGGAAUAGGAGCGAGGGGGCCACGGUUCUAGCGCAGGCUCUAACUGAACACGGGACCUGGGGUAAAUGUCUUUCCCUCGCUGGGGAGCAGUUUCUUCAUUUGGGAUCCUCUGUUGAACUUUAUUCUAGCACCUGCUUAAUGGGAAAAUAAUAAAAGCUAGCAUUUCCUGAGUGUGUCUUAUAUAGCAAGUGUGGGACUCACCAUUCAAUGGAUAUUACCUAAUUUAAUCCUCCCUAAACCCCAUGAGAUAGGGACAGUAAUUCACCCCAUUUUACAGAUGAGGAAAUCAAGGCUCCAAGAGGUGAAGUGACUGGUCCAAGGGUACACAGCUGGGGAGUGGGGAGCACAGAUUUGACUCCAGGCAGGCCAGCUCGAGAGCCAGGCAGUUUCAAGCUUCCCUUCCAGAGUCUGUCAAAGAGACCGGGAGCCACAGAAGGCACUUAGCUCCCAACAGCAGAUGAGGUUUUGAAAGGCAGCACGGACAUAGGGGCGAUGGCCCGGUCGGCAGGGACCUGGCUUUGUAGAGGGAAUUGGCUCCAGAGCACAUAAAGGGAUUAUCUGGAAUUCAGAGUUAAGAGCCCUAAGGUCAAGUUCUGCUCUGCCAUUUACCAACGCUGUGAUUUGAGGCAAACUGCUUAAUCCCGCUGCACUCCAACUUCCUCUCCUAUAAAUUGGCGGUAUUAAUGGGUGCUUCAUAGGAUGCUCGCGAGGAUAAAAGGGCUGAGGGUGUGGAAAAGUGUUUUGCAGACUUUAAGCUCCCUGCCGAGUACCGAGUACCCAGUACCAACGGUAACGGAGUGGGCUCCUUGGGUUUGUUGCUCUUGUUUAGGGGAAUCCUUAUGUGAUUUCUUUGGUAAACCAUUCCUUUGGUAAAGCUAAGAAUCCCCUCACUGAAGGAAGUGAUCUGAUUUACUUUGUUUCGAUUCAUGCACUGAGUUUGCUUCAAGUGGCAGACUUGGAAUAUGGGACGCGGACAUCCUCAGAGCAAGUCCCAGGACAGAUUCCCCAAAGAGGAAGUGAGUACUCCGGCAAUGCCUACGGCCACACCCCCUACUCCUCCUACGGCGAGGCCUGGCGCUUCCCCAACUCUGGCUUGCUGAGUUCCCCAUAUUAUUACAGUUCCACAUCAAGGCCAAGUGCGCCACCCACCACCGCCACGGCCUUUGACCAUCUGUAGUUGCUAUGGGGACAGUGGGAGCAACUGAGCACCAGAAGGACUUGGCCUGGGACAGGCCCCAGAGAGUCACACAAAGGAAUCUUUAUUUAUUACAUGAAAAAUAACCACAAGUCCAGCAUUGCGGCGCACUCCCUGUGUGGUUGAUUUAAUGAACCAUGAAAGACAGGAUGACUUUGGAGAAGGCCAAACUGUCCUCUAAGACUCCUUAAUGAGGGGCAGGAGUCCCAGGGAGAGAGAACUGUCCCGUUCCAAAAGAGACACAACUGGAGGAGAAAUACGGAGAGAAGAGGGAGCAGCCGAGGAGCUCGAGAGGGAUGGCGCAUGGGCCCACGAUGGGCUUCGGGCCACACAGAGGCCCCCGUGGCUCCACCAUCGACAUGCUCUCGCAGGCGCGGGCUGUGCGCACUUCUGUCCGGCCCCCACACCGCAGCCGGGCGCCCAGGCUCUCCCUCGCCGCCCCGCUGAGAGUCACCUCCCGCCUGCCCCACAGCAGUCUCCGGCUGUCCACCUUCUCCACUCAGUGUGCUUGGCAUUUCUGCACCUCCCUCUUGGCCAGGGCUGAGGGCUGGGUCGAGUCGAAGCCGGAAGCUCCACCUGAUGGUCCCCGGGGCCUUCCUGUUGCCUGCUGCUGAGAAUGUGUGAGCACACCCCAGGUUCUCCUCCGGUGGAUCAUUCCCUCGCAGCCAGACCAGCCCAUUCCAGCUGGAGACAG